GAGUCCCGGGAGAAGACGCGGCGGUCGCCACCUCUUCUGUCCAGGCCUCGGCCUUCCUGAGCGUCUCUGCUUCCUCUCCCAGAUCAUCUUCUCCUUCAGUUUGGAGGCCAGUGGCGUCGCGGCCACCCUGCCGGGCUCUCUGUGAGGAUGGUGGGGGUGAAGCCCGUCGGGAGCGACCCGGAUUUCCAGCCAGUGCUGAGUGGUGCGGGCUCCAGACUCGCCGUGGUCAGGUUCACCAUGAGAGGGUGCGGGCCAUGUUUGAGGAUUGCCCCAGCAUUCAGUUUUUUGAGUAAUAAAUAUCCACAGGCUGUUUUCUUGGAAGUCGAUGUACGUCAAUGUCAGGGAACAGCUGCAACAAUAUAUCAGUAACACCUACAUUUUUGUGUUUUCGAAACAAAGUGAGAAUUGAUCAAUAUCAAGGAGCAGAUGCUGUGGGAUUGGAAGAAAAAAUCAAGCAGCACUUAGAAAAUGACCCUGGAAGCAGUGAAGACACAGAUAUUCCAAAAGGCUAUAUGGAUUUCAUGCCUUUUAUUAACAAAGCUGGUUGUGAAUGUCUUAAUGAAAGUGAUGAGCAUGGAUUUGACAACUGUUUAGGAAGACACGACCUUCUUGGAAUCUGACUGUGAUGAACAGCUACUUAUUACUAUGGCAUUCAAUCAACCUGUUAAGCUUUAUUCCAUGAAAUUUAAAGGACCAGAUAAUGGUCAGGGCCCUAAAUAUGUAAAAAUUUUUAUCAACCUACCCCGAUCUAUGGAUUUUGAAGAGGCAGAAAGAAGUGAACCAACUUAAGCUCUGGAACUGACAGAGGAUGAUAUUAAAGAAGAUGGCAUUGUUCCACUUCCUUAUGUUAAGUUUCAGAAUGCUAACAGUGUAACUAUAUUUGUUCAGUCGAAUCAAGGUGAAGAGGAAACAACAAGAAUUUCAUAUUUUACUUUUAUUGGUACUCCAGUCCAGACAACAAAUAUGAAUGACUUCAAACGAGUAGUUGGCAAAAAGGAGAAAGCCACUAACGUGCAAAAGACACUGGACAACCAUAUUGCAAUCAGAUCUACAGCUCCUGGAUAAUUGCUUGAUUCUCGCCGGAGACUGUCAAUGUUUCAUUCAUUGCCAUGACCAAUAAAUCAUUGCUUUUGUUCAGAUGGUAUCACUAGUGUUUCCAUUGUAAUCUUGACAUAUGCAAUUGUAAAUUAA